UACACUCCUACGGGAGGCAGCAGUGGGGAAUUUUGGACAAUGGGCGAAAGCCUGAUCCAGCAAUGCCGCGUGAGUGAAGAAGGCCUUCGGGUUGUAAAGCUCUUUUGUCAGGGAAGAAACGGUGAAAGCUAAUAUCUUUUGCUAAUGACGGUACCUGAAGAAUAAGCACCGGCUAACUACGUGCCAGCAGCCGCGGUAAUACGUAGGGUGCAAGCGUUAAUCGGAAUUACUGGGCGUAAAGCGUGCGCAGGCGGUUUUGUAAGUCUGAUGUGAAAUCCCCGGGCUCAACCUGGGAAUUGCAUUGGAGACUGCAAGGCUAGAAUCUGGCAGAGGGGGGUAGAAUUCCACGUGUAGCAGUGAAAUGCGUAGAUAUGUGGAGGAACACCGAUGGCGAAGGCAGCCCCCUGGGUCAAGAUUGACGCUCAUGCACGAAAGCGUGGGGAGCAAACAGGAUUAGAAACCCCAGUAGUCCCAU
rnacentral:rRNA from 1 species